rnacentral:lncRNA from 1 species
GAGCAUCCUUAUCUUGUGGAUAUCGGCCUGACGGUGAAUCAAUUCCACGGUCCCAUCCCGCCGAAUCUCGGAGUUAACAGCAAGCUGCAAGGUAUGGAUCUGGGAACCAACAAGUUCACGGGUGAGAUUCCACCAAACUUGUGCAUGCACAACGAGUUGGUUUACCUGGUUCUUAUUGAAAACGAGCUGUCGGGGCCGAUUCCACGAGGAUUACUCCAGUGUCAAACGUUGAAAAGGCUAAGGUUGGAGAACAACAACCUCACGGGUGACAUCAACUUCGACGCGCCGGCUCUCACCGUAGCGAUAAUCCGCGAGAAUAAUCUGGAUGGCGGCCUGUUUAUAGAAGCGAGGAGUAACAUGUCAGCACUGCAAACGCUGGAUCUACGCUCGAAUCGAAUGAAAGGCGACUUACCAGAGAAGCUGAGCUCGCUCACGGGUUUGCAGAAGCUUCAGUUGGCCGGAAAUCGUUUUUCCGGAAGCAUUCCUCGCAACCUCGGCUUCAAGUUGAAGCAGCUCGAAGUCCUUGAUCUCAGUGACAACAAUCUCGAAGGAGGGAUACCCCUGUCGGUUUCCAGCUGCAGCAACCUGGUCACGCUCAAUCUCAGCAAGAACAGCCUCAGUGGGACGAUUGCUCUUGAAAGGAUGGACAAGCUUAACGCACUGGAUCUCUCGCACAACCAGCUUCACGGUGGAAUACCUCUGGCCAUUGGACGAUCUCCUGCUCUUGAGAAACUUGAUCUCUCGUUCAACAAUCUGUCCGGAGAGGUGCCGGCCUUUUGCAAGAG